GGCUCUAUGGCUUAGUUGGUUAAAGCGCCUGUCUUGUAAACAGGAGAUCCUGGGUUCGAAUCCCAGUUAGGGCCU
rnacentral:tRNA from 1 species